GAUGAACGCUGACAGAAUGCUUAACACAUGCAAGUCUUUGGCGAAGCUGUGCUUGCACCGCCUAGCCAAGGCGGACGGGUGAGUAACGCGUAAGGAACUUGCCCUGCAGUCAGGGAUAACAGACGGAAACGACUGAUAAGACCUGGUAAAGUCAGGCGGACCCAUGUCCAGCCUGAUGAAAAGAGAUGCUGCAGGAGAGCCUUGCGUCCUAUUAGCUUGUUGGUGGGGUAACGGCCCACCAAGGCGAUGAUAGGUAGCCGGCCUGAGAGGGUGGACGGCCACAAGGGGACUGAGAUACGGCCCUUACUCCUACGGGAGGCAGCAGUGGGGAAUAUUGGACAAUGGGGGCAACCCUGAUCCAGCAAUUCUGUGUGCACGAUGAAGGUUUUCGGAGUGUAAAGUGCUUUCAGCAGGGAAGAAAAAAAUGACGGUACCUGCAGAAGAAGCGACGGCUAAAUACGUG
rnacentral:rRNA from 1 species